CCAGCAUUGCAAAUCCAGGAGGCGGGUCCCGACCUAGCCGGCUCUGUAAGGCCGCCAUGUUGAAAUCCUUCAGGAAGGUGGCCCAGGAGAUGAAGAGGGAGGACCUGAUGUUGCUAUCCAUGUAUCAUGAAGCCAAGGUUCAAGCCACAACUUAUCAGAGUGCAAAGCUCCAACUAUACACCCACCUGAAUGUUCGGGAUCUGAGCAAGUGGCCUCAAAAGCAGCUGGCGGACACUUUUUGCAGGUAGACUGGCCUGGGCAACCAAAGAUCCCUCCAGCCAACGGAUAGGAGCAAGUUCCAGCGAGAUCUUGUUUCGAUUUCGUUCCUCAAAUUAUGGGAUUGUUGAUGUUAGUAAGUUUCAACUCAAGACUUGUAAAACUAGCUGGUUUCAACAAGCCGGAAUUACGGUGAACUACAAGUUUAGUUUCAGGCCUAAUGUACAGAUAAGAUGCAACUGCAUUGGAGAGCAGAAACGUAGUCUGUACUCUCAGGUUUUCCUUCGGCCAGGACCCCUGAAUUUACCUAGAACAGGGGUCUCCAAACUUGGCACCUUUAAGACUUGUGGACUUCAACUCCCAGAACUGCCCAGCCAGGGAAACUUCUGGGAGUUGAAGUCCACAAGUCUUAAACUUGCCAAGUCUGAAGAGCCCUGAUCUAGAACUUAGAUCUGUUAUGUUUUGCACUGGUGUGAUCUGAUCUAGAACCUACCUGUUGUAUUUUACACUGAUGUGCAGUUAGCACAUGAAAAACAAGUGGGAGCCAACAGGUAUGAAUAAGCAACUGCGCUUCCUUUGGAAAAAUCCAGAUGCUUCCAAAAAGCAAAUUUUGAAUGAUGUUUGGGGGGGGGGGAAUGUUUUUUUUAAUAUCUAUACAAAAUAUAUUCACGCAUAUUUGACUUCUGCAGAUGGAAUUCCUCUAUUCUUUCAGAGUUUAACGGUAGGAUCCGCAAGUAGGGUUGCUUUUAAGCAACCUAUAGUCUUCUUGUUACUUUCAGUUUUGCGCCUCUUGUUAAGUUUUAGAAUUGCCCUUGGGGAAAUUUCAAUGUAUGCAGAUUUUUUUUUUUAAGAUAUAUGUUAUUUAUUGAUGCUUGUUUGGAAAUGUGUUUUCUCAGCUGCUGUUUUUGUAGACCAAACUUGACUGCCCACUCUCCAAUUUAGAAAGUGUUGGUUUCAGACAUUCUUGGUGCUUUGCUCCAAAAUGCUACCCAGCACCGUGACCUUGUUGGAAGUCAUGCUAAGCCCAACUGUGAUUUGUUUGGCUUUGUCUGAAUACAUGGUGAGACCCUCUCAGUUGUGUUUCAUUCAAUAAACCGUAAUUAAGCAAA